rnacentral:rRNA from 1 species
UACGGGGGGUGCGAGCGUUGUCCGGAUUCACUGGGCGUAAAGGGCGCGUAGGCGGCCGGGUCAGUCGGGCCUGUAAGUGCGGGGCUCAACCCCGUGAUGGGCUCGAGACGGCACGGCUGGGGCGCGGCAGAGGGAGACGGAAUGCCGGGUGUAGUGGUGAAAUGCGUAGAGAUCCGGCGGAACACCGGUGGUGAAGACGGUCUCCUGGGCCGAGGGCCGACGCUGAGGCGCGAGAGCGUGGGGAGCGAACCGG